rnacentral:rRNA from 1 species
AUUGAACGCUGGCGGCAGGCCUAACACAUGCAAGUCGAGCGGAUGAAGGGAGCUUGCUCCUGGAUUCAGCGGCGGACGGGUGAGUAAUGCCUAGGAAUCUGCCUGGUCGUGGGGGAUAACGUCCGGAAACGGGCGCUAAUACCGCAUACGUCCUGAGGGAGAAAGUGGGGGUUCUCGGGACCUCCGCCUUCCGGUGAAGCUAGGUCGGAUUAGCUAGUUGGUGGGGUAAAGGCCUACCAAGGCGACGAUCCGUAACUGGUCUGAGAGGAUGAUCAGUCACACUGGAACUGAGACACGGUCCAGACUCCUACGGGAGGCAGCAGUGGGGAAUAUUGGACAAUGGGCGAAAGCCUGAUCCAGCCAUGCCGCGUGUGUGAAGAAGGUCUUCGGAUUGUAAAGCACUUUAAGUUGGGAGGAAGGGCAGUAAGUUAAUACCUUGCUGUUUUGACGUUACCAACAGAAUAAGCACCGGCUAACUUCGUG